rnacentral:rRNA from 1 species
UACGAAGGGGGCUAGCGUUGCUCGGAAUCACUGGGCGUAAAGGGCGCGUAGGCGGCGUUUUAAGUCGGGGGUGAAAGCCUGUGGCUCAACCACAGAAUGGCCUUCGAUACUGGGACGCUUGAGUAUGGUAGAGGUUGGUGGAACUGCGAGUGUAGAGGUGAAAUUCGUAGAUAUUCGCAAGAACACCGGUGGCGAAGGCGGCCAACUGGACCAUUACUGGACGCUGAGGCGCGAAAGCGUGGGGAGC